CAGUAGCCACGGGAAUACGUAGGGUGCAAGCGUUAAUCGGAAUUACUGGGCGUAAAGCGUGCGCAGGCGGUUUGUUAAGACAGAUGUGAAAUCCCCGGGCUCAACCUGGGAACUGCAUUUGUGACUGGCAAGCUAGAGUAUGGCAGAGGGGGGUGGAAUUCCGCGUGUAGCAGUGAAAUGCGUAGAUAUGCGGAGGAACACCGAUGGCGAAGGCAGCCCCCUGGGCCAAUACUGACGCUCAUGCACGAAAGCGUGGGGAGCAAACAGGAUUAGAUACCCCCGUAGUCCCUGUCUCUUAUAC
rnacentral:rRNA from 1 species